GUGCUUUCUUCAGCAGCACAUAUACAAAAAACUGAAACAACACAGAGAAGGGUAGCAUGGCCCCGGUGCUAGAAUGACAUGCAAAUGUGUGAGGUGUUCUGUGUUUGU
ensembl:snRNA U6 U6 spliceosomal RNA